AUGUUUGUUGAGCGAGAAGACAAGCGCGACUGGAGCUUGUUGUGCUGUAUCUUGCUUCAGUUGUUGUUGUUGUUGUUGGAUUUUUUUUUUUUUUUUUUUUGGUGGGGUGACGUGAGGGGCGGUUUUGGAAGGCAAGUGAGCGAGGAGGGGCUGAGUGAGGUGUCGCAGGGGCUCCCAUGCAGGCAGGUGAUGGAUGGCAGCCCCCCCGCAAGGUGGAGGCCGCAAAAGAAGACGAUGUCGUCCUCUUUACUCUCGGCUGACGGCUGCUCUUUUAGAGGGAAGAAGAGGAAGCAGGCCAGCAGAGAUGCCGACUCGCUCAGCCUCUGCACUCUGGAUAUCAACGAACCGAGCGCCAAGCGCAGCAAAGCGUUGGUGUCCAGAGUGACGUCACUGGCCAGCCUCCUGCCCAUCAAGACGGCGCCGCUCAAAAGGUUCGGCCAGACGCUGCAGCGUUCCAUCAGCUUCCGAAGAGAGCGAGGACUUCCUCCUCCGUCGUCGCCUCCGCCUCCUCCUCGACCUCCUCCCCCUUCCUCCUCCUCCUCUUCCAUGAAGAUGCGAGUGACCUCAGCAGCCAUGUCCAACUCCUCCUCCUCUACCACUUCUUCUUCUUCUUCUUCUUCCUCCGGCUCCUCGACGUCCAGAGUUGCCGCGGCGACCGGCCCGGCCGCCAAGCGCCGCGACAGCAAACUCUGGAGCGAGACCUUCGAUGUCCACUUGGGGGCUUCGCAAACGCUAAGCCCCAAAGACAUCAAACGGCAGGAGGCGAUUUUUGAGUUGGCUCAGGGCGAGCAAGAUCUGGUGGAGGAUCUCAAACUGGCAAAAAAGGCGUACCACGACCCCAUGCUGAAGCUGUCCAUCAUGACUGAGCAAGAACUGAACCAGAUCUUCGGUACCCUGGACUCACUGAUCCCCCUUCAUGAAGAGCUGCUGAGUCGGCUCUGCGAGGCCAGGAAACCGGACGGGUCCACAGAACACGUCGGACAGAUCCUGACCGGCUGGCUGCCAUGUCUGUCAUCGUACACGGCGUAUUGCAGCAACCAGGUUUGGGCCAAGGCCCUGCUGGACCAGAAGAAGCUGGACCGUCGGGUGCAGGACUUCCUGCAGCGCUGCCAGCAGUCGCCCUUCAGCAGGAAGUUGGACCUGUGGAACUUCCUGGACAUCCCGCGCAGCCGACUGGUCAAAUACCCGCUGCUGCUCCGUGAGAUCCUCAAGCACACACCCGAGCACCACCCAGACCGGCCGCACCUGGACCAAGGGAUGCUGCUGGUCCAGGGCGUGGUGGCCGACAUCAACAGGCGCACGGGCGAGUCCGAGUGUCAGUUCUAUAAGGACCGGCUGCUCUACGCCGAGGUUGGCCACAGGGACGCCCUCAUCCAACGCUCGCGGACGCUCAGCUGCCACGGCGAGCUCAAAAACAACCGAGGACUGAAGCUCCACGUGUUCCUGUUCCAGGACGUGCUGGUCAUCACGCGCUCCGUCUCGCUCAACGAGCAGCCGGUCAGCUACCAGCUGUGCCGGCGACCAAUCCCCAUCUGUCAGCUGGACCUAGAGGACGUCUCGGACGGCGAGAUGAGAGUGGGCGGCUCCAUCCGGGGAGCUUUCAGCAACAACGAGCGCACAAAAAACUUCUUCCGGGUGUCGUACCGGGUUUCGGGUGGCGCUCCGCAGAGUCACUGCUUCCAAGCCAGUGACGCCUUCAACAAGCAGCAGUGGAUCAACUGCAUCCGCCAGGCCAAAGAGGCAGCGGAGGCAGAAGCGGCACAGGAAAAUGGACCGUGUUUGCCAAAAGACGUCAGGAAGGAGCUGGAGACGGAGCUGGAGACGGAGCUGGAGACGGAGCUGGAACCAGAGGCGGUGAUGGAGUCAGAACCGGAGCCGGAGGACGACAAAAGGCUGUGCGAGCAAGGUGAAAACAGGACGGCAAGGAAAGCGGACACAAGAAGUGAUGCCGCUGUGGCCAUGGAGACGGAACAGGCCGAAUUGAGAAUGGAAAUGGAGGACGACGUCGGUGAGACACGCAAUGGGGAUGCUGAGGAGGAAAUGGAGGCGUUCAAUAAGGACGCCAGUGACGAGGAGAACAUACGAUGCUGAUGUUUGCACUUCACAAACUACUAGAAAGGUCUGGAUACAUGUAUGGUCGCCAUGGUAACCAGGGACAACAAAUACCAAAGAGACUUUCACCAAACCAGUCACUUUAAAAGCUUGGAAAAGCCCCCCCGCAGCUGUUCUAUCGAACAGAAAUUUCUGCUUUAAGAUGUCGUAUCCUGUGUCUAAAGGCUUUUUCACACCGCACUUGGUUUUCUUUGUGUUCAAGUACAACGGUCAAUAUCCGCAUGGGGAAGUGUUGGAUUUAAUGUCAGCGGGUUUGGACGAGUGGGGGCACACAGAACAUUGUGUAAAGGAAAUGUUUGACUUGAGUUUAACACCCAACAAUCACUUCUCUUCUCUGGAUUCUGCGUGAAAGGCACAUAAGGUUCAAUUUCCCAUGCACUGUCCCUAAUUUUUGUGAUGUCUCUGUGGGAAAAUGGGCUAUUCAUCAUAAAAAAAAAACACCUCAGUGAUUUUAACAUGCAAUAAUGUAUUUAUUACUAUUUAGGACUGAGAGGAGUAACAAUAUAUUUAUGCCCUUUGACAGCUUCUUGUCACUCUGCCAAAUCGAUGCUGCCACAAGGCAAGUCAAAAUCGGCUACGAGACACUAUGUUUGUCUGUCGGCUCAAAAUCGAGCUAAGUCCUCGUAUGACCAAUCAGAUGUGGGGAUCAAUCGCCGGUCAUAUAUAAUGUAUUGCCCCCAUGCUCUGAUGUUGUCAUCCUACGAUGUCAUCGUGUUGUCAAAAUGAUUUUGACGAAAGGGGCAUAUUACUCCUCCCUGUAAUGACUCAUCUCACAUGUGCAGCCUGCUGUGUUAUGAUGAUGACGAUUUUAAUUUUUUUUCUUCCCAAAUGAAUGACAAUCGGAGACAGAUUGUAAUGUGUAUAUCUGGAACUGCUGUAUAAUAUAUAUUUGUGUACAUUGAUGUAGAAAUAAAGGCAUUCAUAUCUGUCAA